UGAGAUGGGAUGAGACAAGAAGAUGG
rnacentral:piRNA from 1 species